rnacentral:rRNA from 1 species
GUCCACGCCGUAAACGAUGAAUGCUAGCCGUUGGGCAGCUUGCUGUUCAGUGGCGCAGCUAACGCAUUAAGCAUUCCGCCUGGGGAGUACGGCCGCAAGGUUGAAACUCAAAGGAAUUGACGGGGGCCCGCACAAGCGGUGGAGCAUGUGGUUUAAUUCGACGCAACGCGCAGAACCUUACCAGGGUUUGACAUCCUGCGACCGCCUCUUAAUAGGGGGUUUUCCCGCAAGGGACGCAGAGACAGGUGCUGCAUGGCUGUCGU